rnacentral:rRNA from 1 species
GACGAACGCUGGCGGCGUGCUUAACACAUGCAAGUCGAGCGGUAAGGCCUUUCGGGGUCCACGUGCGGCGAACGGGUGAGUAACACGUGGGUGAUCUGCCCUGCACUUCGGGAUAAGCCUGGGAAACUGGGUCUAAUACCGGAUAUGACCUCCUAUCGCAUGGUGGGUGGUGGAAAGAUUUAUCGGUGCAGGAUGGGCCCGCGGCCUAUCAGCUUGUUGGUGGGGUAAUGGCCUACCAAGGCGACGACGGGUAGCCGACCUGAGAGGGUGACCGGCCACACUGGGACUGAGACACGGCCCAGACUCCUACGGGAGGCAGCAGUGGGGAAUAUUGCACAAUGGGCGAAAGCCUGAUGCAGCGACGCCGCGUGAGGGAUGACGGCCUUCGGGUUGUAAACCUCUUUCAGCAGGGACGAAGCGCAAGUGACGGUACCUGCAGAAGAAGCACCGGCUAACUACGUG